UCUUCGCGCUGACAAAAAUGUGGGGUGGGUGGGAUGGAUCCAGAAAAAACAGACCUGAAAAACACAGCCGAUCGCUAGGAGACGGAGCUGAGGAAAGAGAUACAAAGUGCACUUUACAAAAUGAAACUAAGGAUGCCAUUUGGAAGUUUGGGUGGUGUUUAUGCAUCGGUCUACAAAAUGAGAUUCUGAAAAUCUUUCUCCAUAAAGUGAAUUGUCUUUACCCCUGACGCUUCUCCUGAGACCUCUUAUUCGGUGAGUGAAUUGACAAGAGGGGUGUUAGAUAAGGGAUUUCGUCCUUCAAACACUUCCUUAAUCUCCACAGUUGCCGUGGAAUUUGUGUCGUUUUUGCUUGGGCGAUCAGAUUACGUUUCAUAAACAAUAUCCCCUAUGUUUAAAAAUCUUUAAACGGCCACUUGUAAGCGGCUUGACGUGGACUACAGUUAAUGCCUUGUUUGACUUGGCUCUUCCUUUGUCCGUGGGGCUGACGGUCAACUGGUUAUGCCAGCGCCGGACUCCUAAGCAGAGACCCACGUUUUCCAGAAGCUUCUUGCUUGGAAUAGUUCCUUCGUUUUCAGCACGUCAGCUAUCCCUUGUAACUUUCCAGAGAUGGGCAUUUUUGGUGCUUUCGUAGAUUUCUUGUUUUCCCCGGUAUUCACCCUCAGUGUCCUUCUCCCGGCACUUUCCAAGUCAAAAUUGUCAGCUCACCUGACCCGUCAGCACCCUGGGGCCACUGGGCAGAAGUGGGUAUCUGAAGGUGCGUUUGUCACUGCAAUUUUCACUAAGUUUUAAUUUUCAAACUGAGGGAUUAACCCCCCUUUUGUUUGGGGCGCCUGGGUGGUGGCUCAGUCGGGUAAGCGUCCGACUCUUGAUUUCCGCUCAGGUCACCAUCUCACGGUUCGUGGGUUCGAGCCCCAUGUUGGGCUCUGCGCGGACGGUGUGGAGCCUGCUUGGGAUUCUCUCUCUCUCCCUCUCCCUCUGCCUCCUCCUGUUCUUUCUCUCUCUUUAAAUAAGUAAACAUUAAAAAAAAAAAAAGUCUCCUUUUGUUCAUUGGAGCUCGUGUUUAUGGGCUUCUCCCGUAUGUGACUCGCUGGAUCUGAGCUGUCCACUUAAUUCUCCAGUUCUCGGCAGCGUCUAGCGGGUUCUACCUGCAAAAAUGUGUCCCCCCCCCCACUCCGCUCUCACUACCGCGAUCCGCUCUCAACCUACCUGCUUCGUGCUGACUCUCCU
rnacentral:lncRNA from 1 species